UAGCUCAGUUGGUAGAGUACUUGCCUCACAUGCAUAAGGCUCUGGGUUCAAUUCCCAG
rnacentral:tRNA from 1 species